rnacentral:rRNA from 1 species
GGUUAAGCGACUAAGCGUACACGGUGGAUGCCCUGGCAGUCAGAGGCGAUGAAGGGCGUGCUAAUCUGCGAUAAGCGCCGGUAAGGUGAUAUGAACCGUUAUAACCGGCGAUACCCGAAUGGGGAAACCCAGUGUGACUCGUCACACUAUCAUUAACUGAAUCCAUAGGUUAAUGAGGCGAACCGGGGGAACUGAAACAUCUAAGUACCCCGAGGAAAAGAAAUCAACCGAGAUUCCCCCAGUAGCGGCGAGCGAACGGGGAGGAGCCCAGAGCCUGAAUCAGCAUGUGUGUUAGUGGAAGCGUCUGGAAAGGCGCGCGAUACAGGGUGACAGCCCCGUACACAAAAGCGCAUGUGCUGUGAGCUCGAUGAGUAGGGCGGGACACGUGGUAUCCUGUCUGAAUAUGGGGGGACCAUCCUCCAAGGCUAAAUACUCCUGACUGACCGAUAGUGAACCAGUACCGUGAGGGAAAGGCGAAAAGAACCCCGGCGAGGGGAGUGAAAAAGAACCUGAAACCGUGUACGUACAAGCAGUGGGAGCCCCACCACCAAAGCAUUCUCUGGUGUUGAAGGCCCUGCAAAGCAGCAUCGCGGUGGCGGAGCGUCGUUUGCGACGCCCAACACACAAAACAAGCGGUGAGUGCUUUGGGGUGGGGUGACUGCGUACCUUUUGUAUAAUGGGUCAGCGACUUAUAUUCUGUAGCAAGGUUAACCGUAUAGGGGAGCCGGAGGGAAACCGAGUCUUAACCGGGCGUUAAGUUGCAGGGUAUAGACCCGAAACCCGGUGAUCUAGCCAUGGGCAGGUUGAAGGUUGGGUAACACUAACUGGAGGACCGAACCGACUAAUGUUGAAAAAUUAGCGGAUGACCUGUGGCUGGGGGUGAAAGGCCAAUCAAACCGGGAGAUAGCUGGUUCUCCCCGAAAGCUAUUUAGGUAGCGCCUCGUGAAUUCAUCUCCGGGGGUAGAGCACUGUUUCGGCUAGGGGGCCAUCCCGGCUUACCAACCCGAUGCAAACUGCGAAUACCGGAGAAUGUUAUCACGGGAGACACACGGCGGGUGCUAACGUCCGUCGUGAAGAGGGAAACAACCCAGACCGCCAGCUAAGGUCCCAAAGUCAUGGUUAAGUGGGAAACGAUGUGGGAAGGCCCAGACAGCCAGGAUGUUGGCUUAGAAGCAGCCAUCAUUUAAAGAAAGCGUAAUAGCUCACUGGUCGAGUCGGCCUGCGCGGAAGAUGUAACGGGGCUAAACCAUGCACCGAAGCUGCGGCAGCGACGCUGAUGCGUUGUUGGGUAGGGGAGCGUUCUGUAAGCCUGUGAAGGUGGCCUGUGAGGGUUGCUGGAGGUAUCAGAAGUGCGAAUGCUGACAUAAGUAACGAUAAAGCGGGUGAAAAGCCCGCUCGCCGGAAGACCAAGGGUUCCUGUCCAACGUUAAUCGGGGCAGGGUGAGUCGACCCCUAAGGCGAGGCCGAAAGGCGUAGUCGAUGGGAAACGGGUUAAUAUUCCCGUACUUGGUGUUACUGCGAAGGGGGGACGGAGAAGGCUAUGUUGGCCGGGCGACGGUUGUCCCGGUUUAAGCGUGUAGGUGUGUGUUCCAGGUAAAUCCGGUUCACUUUAACACUGAGGCGUGACGACGAGGCACUACGGUGCUGAAGCAACAAAUGCCCUGCUUCCAGGAAAAGCCUCUAAGCAUCAGGUAACAUCAAAUCGUACCCCAAACCGACACAGGUGGUCAGGUAGAGAAUACCAAGGCGCUUGAGAGAACUCGGGUGAAGGAACUAGGCAAAAUGGUGCCGUAACUUCGGGAGAAGGCACGCUGACAUGUAGGUGAAGUGAUUUACUCAUGGAGCUGAAGUCAGUCGAAGAUACCAGCUGGCUGCAACUGUUUAUUAAAAACACAGCACUGUGCAAACACGAAAGUGGACGUAUACGGUGUGACGCCUGCCCGGUGCCGGAAGGUUAAUUGAUGGGGUCAGCGCAAGCGAAGCUCCUGAUCGAAGCCCCGGUAAACGGCGGCCGUAACUAUAACGGUCCUAAGGUAGCGAAAUUCCUUGUCGGGUAAGUUCCGACCUGCACGAAUGGCGUAAUGAUGGCCAGGCUGUCUCCACCCGAGACUCAGUGAAAUUGAACUCGCUGUGAAGAUGCAGUGUACCCGCGGCAAGACGGAAAGACCCCGUGAACCUUUACUAUAGCUUGACACUGAACAUUGAGCCUUGAUGUGUAGGAUAGGUGGGAGGCUUUGAAGUGUGGACGCCAGUCUGCAUGGAGCCGACCUUGAAAUACCACCCUUUAAUGUUUGAUGUUCUAACGUGGACCCGUGAUCCGGGUUGCGGACAGUGUCUGGUGGGUAGUUUGACUGGGGCGGUCUCCUCCUAAAGAGUAACGGAGGAGCACGAAGGUUGGCUAAUCCUGGUCGGACAUCAGGAGGUUAGUGCAAUGGCAUAAGCCAGCUUGACUGCGAGCGUGACGGCGCGAGCAGGUGCGAAAGCAGGUCAUAGUGAUCCGGUGGUUCUGAAUGGAAGGGCCAUCGCUCAACGGAUAAAAGGUACUCCGGGGAUAACAGGCUGAUACCGCCCAAGAGUUCAUAUCGACGGCGGUGUUUGGCACCUCGAUGUCGGCUCAUCACAUCCUGGGGCUGAAGUAGGUCCCAAGGGUAUGGCUGUUCGCCAUUUAAAGUGGUACGCGAGCUGGGUUUAGAACGUCGUGAGACAGUUCGGUCCCUAUCUGCCGUGGGCGCUGGAGAACUGAGGGGGGCUGCUCCUAGUACGAGAGGACCGGAGUGGACGCAUCACUGGUGUUCGGGUUGUCAUGCCAAUGGCACUGCCCGGUAGCUAAAUGCGGAAGAGAUAAGUGCUGAAAGCAUCUAAGCACGAAACUUGCCCCGAGAUGAGUUCUCCCUGAGACUUUAAGUCUCCUGAAGGAACGUUGAAGACGACGACGUUGAUAGGCCGGGUGUGUAAGCGCAGCGAUGCGUUGAGCUAACCGGUACUAAUGAACCGUGAGGCUUAACCUU